rnacentral:rRNA from 1 species
CGGAUUGUAGUCUGCAACUCGACACAUGAAGCUGGAAUCGCUAGUAAUCGCAGAUCAGAAUGCUGCGGUGAAUACGUUCCCGGGUCUUGUACACACCGCCCGUCACACCAUGGGAGUCGGGAAUGCCCGAAGUCAGUGACCCAACCGCAAGGAGGGAGCUGCCGAAGGCAGGCUCGAUAACUGGGGUGAAGUCGUAACAAGGUACC